GUGUCAGCAGCCGCGGUAAAACGUAGGACGCAAGCGUUAUCCGGAGUUACUGGGCGUAAAGCGCGGGCAGGCGGCUUCCGAAGUCUGAGGUGAAAGCGCCCGGCUCAACCGGGCGAGGCCCUUGGAAACUGGGGAGCUGGAGGGCAGUAGAGGCAGGCGGAAUUCCGGGUGGAGUGGUGAAAUGCGUAGAGAUCCGGAGGAACACCAGAGGCGAAGGCGGCCUGCUGGGCUGCACCUGACGCUGAGCCGCGAAAGCCAGGGGAGCGAACGGGAUUAGAUACCCUCGUAGUCC
rnacentral:rRNA from 1 species